rnacentral:rRNA from 1 species
GUUAGGAAACGAUAGCUAACUACCGCAUAACAAUAAGAGUAUUGCAUAUCUUUAUUUGAAAGUGCCAACUGGUACACUAUGAGAUGGACCCGCGUUGUAUUAGCUAGUUGGUAGUGUAAUGGACUACCAAGGCGAUGAUACAUAGCCGACCUGAGAGGGUGAUCGGCCACAUUGGGACUGAGACACGGCCCAAACUCCUACGGGAGGCAGCAGUAGGGAAUCUUCGGCAAUGGACGAAAGUCUGACCGAGCAACGCCGCGUGAGUGAAGAAGGUUUUUCGGAUCGUAAAACUCUGUUGUUAGAGAAGAAUGUUGAUUAGAGUGGAAAAUUAAUCAAGUGACGGUAUCUAACCAGAGAGGGACGGCUAACUACGUG